UUUUCUCUCUAGGGAUGAGCUCCUUAUGCUGCGUUGGGUUCGCGUUUUUUUGCAAAAAGGGUCGCAAGCAUUAGGAGGGAUGGAUUGUUUGAUGUUUGCAGGCUGGUGCGUAUGUGUGUGAAUGCCCUGUUGUUCGGUAUUGUGAUCGACUGCAUCACUCCUGUGCAUGGAGAAUUCAUGCCCAUGCAGAAUUCAGGCUUCGUUUCUCAGGAGAAUGACCUGACUACCCCCAAAUCCACAAAAGACCCUUCACCCAAAUUGUGUACAGUAAAUUCUUUCCGGUGCAAUGGAGUACAACUCUCAAUCUAGUGUGUUUCAUGUUGGGGGAGAUUAAAAAUAACCACCCUUCCAGGGGAGACUGCUGAUUCCUAAGCUUUUGCAGCUUUCAUUCUGAGUUUUAUAGGUGCUAUCCUUGCUGGUGAACUCCAUCUGCAAAAGUCUUGCUCUUGAGCAGAAUGGGUAGCUUCUACAAAGCUCAGAAUAAAACUGCAAUGGAAAAAGUGUCCCACUAACAGAGGAAUCAUGGUCUCCCCUGCAGGUAUCACUGUCUUCCUUUGUUAUGUGGAGAAGACAGAAAUGGGAAAGUGUGAUGAGAAUAUCUUUCUUAAAUAUCUCUAAUAGCUCUAGGGAAUUAUGCGCUCUGGGGAUGCAAUGCUCUUUUUCUUGGUACUGGCCGGCCUCACUUGUGUGUUUUGUCUCAGUGGGUGUGAAGACUCUUAAGACUGGUUUUUCCCUAGAGAUACUACAGUUUUCCACUUUUGCGGGUCCCUGUGUCCCUAACCCCAGAAAUGUAGUGUUCACUACUAUCCAUGGUUUCAGGCAUCUGCUGUAGGGCUUGGAACUUAUCCCCGAGAAUCUGGCCAUCCUGCCAUAAUACUCUCCUUUUGCUCUCUUCAGAAAACAGAGAGUAAGAAGUGCAGAGGGACAAAAGGGACAGGCCAUUUUGGGAAGCGAUGCACCUCAAAAGAAGGCAUUGGCUCUCCAGAGUGCCUCAAACGGUUUAGGAUCUUUUGCUGGGUUUUAACACGCACAGCUUGGUUUUGCAUUCACACAAACACUCUCUGCACUUAGAAAGCAAAGGUUAUUCAUCAGAGAAAUACAGAGCAAGCACAAGCUUUUAACCUGUUGCUGUUCAGACAACAAAUAUUUCCAUCACAUCCAAUCUUACACUGGGUUCCUAAAGAGACAGGCACUAAGUGGGGGUGGGUGAGGUCCAUUACUGAGUUCAGAGCUUGUGUGUCCAGAGGGCCCUUGUAGGAGAGUCUCCUUUAUAAGCCCCUGGUAUUUAUACUGUUUCUCCAUGAACAUGUGUCUGUGGGAAAGAUGAGUUUCCCAGGCUUAUGCCUAUUGUUGGAAGGGUGCUUGACUGCUUCUUGAAUGGCCCUAACUAUUGUUUCUCUGAGCAAGAGGUGAGUUCUUUGUGUUUGCUAGGUUAUAGAUAAGGUAAUUUCCAGGCGUUUCAGGACAAUGGGUCAUCCUUCUUGCAGGGUUGUUUUGCCUGAACUCCUUAUGUGGGGAGGAAUGUCUGACCUUCUCCCCACAAAUUCCAGCAUUCAGUCUUAUUUCUGAGGUUCCCAGUACAACAGUCUAACCCGCUAUGUCAUACUGGUGUUUAACUUGAAUGAUUUGUCUCCCUGGGAGUUAAAUUUUCUAGCCCUUGUCAUUCCAAUUCACCUUUCUUAGGAACCAGCCCCCAUUCCACUCCAAAUUUUAUAAUAAAAUAUGGAAGCCCUUUUAUGAAAAAUAGUUUAUUGCACAAAACAUUUCAAUAAUUUUUAUGCACAUCUUAAUUCUUGUUUUAAUUAACAUGCUUUUUAAGGUCACAAUUGUUAAUCUGUAGUCAAAUAGAACAUAACUCUUUAUUUUGAACUCCCAAAUGAAACGUUAAGAAGGUGAUAUUUAUCCCUUAUCAGUACAAUCAGAUAACAACUGGAAGCUUGUAAAGUGUGAGAAAAUCUGCAGCAGAACAUUUCUUUAUUGUUUCUUUAAAGAAAAAAUACAACUCUGUGCAGGUGAAGUCAAGUUUUCAUGGAAAGGACCCCUGGUGAGCAGAAUGACUUGAAAUCAUCUCACUCCAGCAAAUCAGCACCUAGGUUUUCAUGUAGCCAUCAAGUAGAUUCUAAUCGCUAACCGAAUGGCGCAACAUAAAUUGCAUGGUCUAAAUUAAGGCGACAUUUCACUUUGAUUUUAUUGUGCAUUUGUCAUGUCAAAUGACACAUUUUGGUUUAUAAUGGUCAGAAUGCUCCCCUUGCUGAUCAGCAUCUCUGUUUAUGAAAAACUUUCACAAUACUCAUUUAUUUCCAUGUCCAGAAGGGCAGCUGUAAAACAGUACAACCAACAAGCACAUGUUAUUCUGGAAAAUGUUCUUAAAACACGAGGAACUUUUCCUGAACAUUGCCUGCGUGUAGGAUGAAAUAGGCUAAACACGGAGAAGGAAGAAUGAUCAAGAUAACGAAGUGUGCCUGUCUCCAAACGACUUAGAAGACAGUGGAAGUAACAUGCAACAGAGCAGUGGGGCAGACACUUACAGAAACCUCUGCCCCAAACAAAUGGUGUUUGUUUUAUACUGUAACACUGUGAGCAGUUGGAAGAAAAAUGUCAAAGAAUCCUCUGCUAAAAUUGCAAAGGAAUCCUGAAGCUUUUAAAAGGAAAAAGUUGUGAUAUCUUGAUAGCAUGUUUUUUUAGUUUCUCUAACUCCUUUGCUAGUAAAAACAUAGCUGAAUCCAGCAAUGAAAGGAAAUGGAUAGUACCUUCUAGGAACCGUAAAGUAGGUGUUCCCAGCCUAGCCUCCCCUAGUCUCUGAUGGCGGUGGAAUAAUGGGGCCUGUAGCCGAUGCAUCCAGAGGGCACAUGGUUUGGAAAGGCCGCCCUGAUCCAUUGGGCUCCAUGGAUUCUCUGUCUCGUUUCUAAAAGCAAGCCAGUGUUAAGCAGAGGCAACUGCCUGAAUUACUUCAAAGAAGAGCUGCUGGGCUAAUUUUCAGAAGAAGCUGCUCCCUGAACCUGAGAAUAAAAGGCAGCACCUUUUAAAAAGAGCAACGCCUCCAGUGAGGGAGGGAGAACGAUACGGGCUCUGGAUUUUGUUGCCAGUGGAUACUCCAGGACAGAACACAACUGGACCAUUUAUACACACCCUGCCCUGGAGAUGUCCUGAAAAGACGAUGCAGCAUCAACAGCAAUGUGCAAAAGGCGUCUGCCAAAGUGAAUCGCACUCUCUGUGGGCCUUUGGUUGUGGAUCCUCCAUCCAAGUCCUUUGCCAUAGAACGACUUCAAAAUGGUUGGUUUGGGACUCAUAACCCCCAAGCGCUAAUUGCUUCAUCCGCUACGCACCUUUAAUGCAUCCAUCAAGGUGUGUUUCUAAGCAAGAAAGCCUGGCCUGAACCUAAUAUCAGCAUCAGUUUGCCGAGUUGGUGUGACCUCUGGCUCUGAAAAUGACUGGCUCAUUAUCAAACUUGUUUACCAAACCAUUUUUUUUAAAAGUGGAAACUAUUGAAGCCAAUUCAGCUUCACAGCCAAAUCUCUCUCCAUAUAGCCAUUCCUGAAUGGUAGGGGAAAGAUUUUUAGUCUUCUGGGGAAUCUCUUGAUGGACCAACCAGUACAUCUCCUUCCCUGCUGCACCCCAGUAUCAUUAGCUCAAGUAAAUUUGACUCAGUUGAAAAAAUGUUAAUAAAGCAUAACCUUCAAAUA